AUGCAAGUCUCCGCAACCCCGUGAGUAUGCCCUUAAUCCCCUAUCCCGGGGACGAGGAGCGGGCAUCAGGCACAAAUUUUUAGCCCAAGACGCCUGGCCGAGCCACACCCCCAAGGGAAUUCAGCAGUGAUAGAUAUUAAGCCAUAAGUGAAAGCUUGACUCAAUUAGGGUUAAGAGGGCCGGUAAAACUCGUGCCAGCCACCGCGGUUAAACGAGAGGCCCCAGUUAAUGAUACACGGCGUAAAGGGUGGUUAAGGAGAAUAUAAAGAUAAAGCCGAAUGGCCCUUUGGCUGUCAUACGCUUCUAGGUGUCCGAAGUCCAAUAUACGAAAGUAGCUUUAAUAAAGCCCACCUGACCCCACGAAAGCUGAGAAACAAACUGGGAUUAGAUACCCCACUAUGCUCGGCUGUAAACCCAGACAUCCAACUACAAUUGAACGUUCGCCCGGGUACUACGAGCAUUAGCUUGAAACCCAAAGGACCUGACGGUGCCUUAGACCCCCCUAGAGGAGCCUGUUCUAGAACCGAA
rnacentral:rRNA from 1 species